AGCAUGACAAAAAGGUUAUUUUCAUCAGCUGAGCAGUCUGAAAAAACAAAACAGACAGAACAGGCAGAGCACUGACGCAGCAUCAUGCUGGGGUCCGAGCAUUACUGUAGCUGUCAUGCAUCUUCCUAAACCUGCGAUUUUGUUUUCACCCUGGCCCCUUGCACAGGUCUGUGAGAACGCCGGGCUGCGGUAGGCUUUUGCUUCCUCCGCCCUCUCCGGGCAGCACCAUUGGACUGAUGAGAUGCAGCAAGGCACGUGUGAAAGAUAAAGCAGGGAAGAGACAGAGGAGGAGGGGGAAGAAAAAAAAAAAAAAAAAAAAAGUCUAUUUUCUACGGGAGAUCCUGAUCGUCCGGCCGGGGCGGCCGCAGGGCUCAGCCCGAGCCCUUUAAGCUGCCCACCCUGGCGGGCAGGCGGCAGCUGCCGGCUAUUUGGCGGCUAUUUAUACCGGGGCGGCGGCGGGCGCUGGGUGUCCUGCGCGGGGCGGUCCCGGCGGCGGGGCCCGGCCGGAGCUGCCAUGGCCACGGAGUUCCCCCCCACGCCGGCCAGCGGCACCCGCUCCCUCGGCCGUGCCGCGGAGACGCCGCUGAGCCCGGCGCGGCUGAGCCGGCUGCAGGAGAAGGAGGAGCUGCAGCAGCUCAAUGACCGCCUGGCCGCCUACAUCGAGCGGGUGCGGGCGCUGGAGGCCGACAACUCGGCACUGCAGCUGCGGCUGAGCGAGCAGGAGGCGGGCACCGACCGGGAGCUGGACUGCCUGCGGCUGCACUACGAGACCGAGCUGGCCGACGCCCGCCGGGCGCUGGAUGACAUCGCCAUCGAGCGGGCUACGCUGCAGGUGGAGCUGGGCAAGAUCGGCGAGGAGCACCGGCAGCUCCACGUCAGGAAUUCCAAAAAGGAAAGUGAUUUGAACCUGGCCCAGGCUCGCAUGAGAGACCUGGAUGCCCAGCUGAUCGCGAAGGAAGCUGACUUAGCAACAGCCCUGAACGAGAACCGCACCUUGGAGAAUGAGCUCCGUGAAUUAAAGGAUGAAGUACUCACACUGAAUCUGUCACUGGAAGAUACCACAAAGCAUCUCCACAGUGAAAUGUUGAGGAGGGUGGACCUAGAAAAUAAUAUGAAGACUUUGCAGGAAGAAAUGACGUUCCAGAAGCGCCUUCACGAAGAUAAACUCAAGGAGACAAGAAGAGUCCAUGAGAGCAGGGUAGCAGAAGUAGAAUCUGGUCGUCAGAGAGAAUUUGAGAGUAAGCUCUCAGAAGCUCUGCAGGGGAUCAGAAGGCAACAUGAAGAACAAAUUCAAGGAUACAAAGAGGAGCUGGAGCGAACGUUCAGUGCAAAGAUUGAGAAUGCCCAGCUAACUGCAAGAAGAAAUAGCGAGUCUGCCAAUGCUGCUCGGGAGGAGCUGCUGGAAACAAAGAGGAGAAUUGAUACUUUGGUAUCUCAAGUUAAUCAGUAUCAAAACCAGAAUGUUGCUUUGGAGAGCAAAAUAAAGGAGCUACAGGACUUGCUGGAUUAUGACCGUGAUGUCCAUCGAAAGCGAAUGGCUGAAAAGGAGGAAGAAAUGGCACGAGCUCAGAGGCAGGCACAAGAACAGCUGGAAGAAUAUCAGCAUCUCUUAGAUGUGAAACUGGCUCUGGAUUUGGAAAUAAAUGCCUACAGAAAGAUGCUGGAAGGAGAGGAACAGAGGCUAAGGCUGUCACCCAGUCCAUCUUCACAUGGCAUGGCAACUCCAGCAACAGGUAGAGGGAGGAGGAUUCUGCAUGGGAAGAAAAGGAAAGUGAAAGAAUCCAAAAAGAGAGAGUGUGGUGCUGCAAUUAAGACUGUUCAGCAUGCCUCAGCUUCUGGAAAUAUAUCCAUUGAGGAGAUCGAUGCAGAUGGGAAAUUUGUCAGGCUUAAAAACAACUCUAACGAGGAUCAACCUCUCCAUGGAUGGGUGCUGAGACGACAUAUUGGAAGUGUGUCAGAUGUUACGUACAAGUUUCCUUCGCAGUUCACUCUUCAGGCAGGCCAAGUAGUUACAGAUCCUUGGUGGCAAUUCAAUUGUAUUGUAGGAACUUGCAGAGAGGAAGAUUACAUUUGUACCCAGAGGAGAAGAAAGCAGUGAGCAAGAUGAUGAUUAUGAAGAAAUAACUGGAAGUGAAAUGGAGUUUGCAUCUCAGACCAAAAGAAGAAGAAAAAAGAAAUGUUGUUUGGUUUCAUGAUAGUGGUUCCUGUGAGAAUCCUUAAGCAGCAAUUUUACAAUACAGUUGUGACAUUUAUGGUAAGAGUCAAUUCUAUAAUCCUUCCAAUCAAAUGUUAAUGUCUUUCCUGUCUGCUGAAUUCCCGUUAAACUGUAACACUAGUAGCUAUGUGCUUCUGCUGCAUUGGUAGUACUGGAGUGGCAGCUUAGUAAACAACAGUAACCUCUUGCAUGCAGUGAAGUGAUGGGAAGAAUGCAUGCUGUGCUUUAAAGGAAGGCAGGGUUUCCAGACUUCUUGCUUCUGCUUUCACCAUCCUAACCAGGGCAGCAUGAAUCUGCAUGCCAGUGAAGUUCUGAUGGUAGUGAGCUUGACAGCCUUUCAUUAAGGAAGGCACAGGCUCAUGUAUUGCAUGGCCUCAAAUUCUUACAAGUUUGUAGUCUUUCUCCCCACCCACAAACCACCUAGUACAGUUCAUGUAUGUCUCUCUUAAAAAUCUGCUUUAUUAAUUAACUAAAUCUACAGAACACUAAAACGUCUAUAUGAGGAUCAAGUAGGUAACCAGCAAGAAAUAAGAAGUCUGUGCACAUGCUAAUUAGGCUAAUGUCUUCAUGUUUUCUUUCUGCAGCAAAAUGAGGAUCCCAGCUGUUCUCUCAUGUAACGUGGACAAAGAGACAAUCAUCUGAAAACAUCUCUGAGUCCCAGGUGACAUAGACUGUACGUGUUUUGGUAUCUUCUGCAAUAUCUGGAACUUGGAAUUCACAUCACGCCUUGAUGUCUUUGUAAGAAACAUUGUCCACAACAUGAUGGAAUUUCCUACCUUCUGAUACUGGACCCUGUCCUUGGAUUCACUGUUACGAAGAGCAGUAGAAUGCAAGCUCCACGUGAAGUUAUUUUUACUUUUAUACAGGGAUCUGGUUUCCAUGACCUGCUGAAACAGAGGAGGGUACAGAGUUUACAAAGCUUCUAAACAUGUGCUCUAGAAGGAUGUUAAAUACUUGACAAUGAACAUGAGGCUGCCUCAAUAUUCUGAUACAGUGUUUCUCCAAAGGUAACUUCUCUUUUAAGCCUGAGUGGGAAAUGGGACAGAUCACACUCUGGCUUGCCCCUUGAGCAAGUCUAAAGUUAAAACAUUGUCCUGAAGAGUGAUGAGUGUCUGAAAUGUUUCCUGCUCAUGCAGGAAUAUAUGAAAACUGGCCGAGAGCACUUGCUGGAGUGAAACACAUUAAAAGCAAGUUGUAAAAAAUAUUUGUGCCUGGUAAUACACGUACUGUUUCUAUAUUCUAGCACCUGGAAAUGCCCCAGUUUCAGUAUUGUAUAUUCCUAGAUACAGAAUAUCACAGCAUAACUGUGCCAACCUUAACUUGGACAAAUGUAUCCUGUAAAUGUGAAAAAGCAUCUCAGUCCAACAGGACAGGUACUGUGACUAGUGCUGUUGGCACUGUUUGAAUAGUCCCAACAACUGCUCUCUAAGGGGCUAGGAAGAAAAACAUACUUAAAAUAAACAUGAAAACCAGAAAGCACCAAACAGUAGUGAAAGAUGCAUUGAAACAGCUGCUCUUAGAGUGCUUAUGUACUGAAUCCCUGCAGUCUGCAGCACUGGGCUGUGUCCAGUGGGCCAGCUGGAGGAACACUUGACUGUUGGCCAGUGUGCUAUCAUGGAUAGCUCUGGGUCCAUGAAAAGCCUGUCCUGUAACCCUCAGGAACAGGCACUUGGCCUCUGGGGGCACUGCAGUCACUCUCUGCCUCUCUUCACUGAACUGACCAGCUAGUCCUGAGGGGGAAAGGAAGGGCCUGGAUGAGCCACUGGAAGGACACUUUUACUUUAGAGCAGCUGAGCCUGCAGACUUCUCUCGAUGCUGGAAUAGUGUUUUGACUCUUUUAUCUUGCCAAAGUACUCGGCUCCAAAUUCAAGACCCUGAUGUUUUAGGAUGUAGGUGUUAAGGUGCUUAUGCUAACUUAAGCUUUUACAUGAUCUGAAAGUUAGUUUUGAGACAUCAAGAGUAGAUGCUGGUUUAAUACUUGCAAUUGUAGCAGACCCAAAUUCUGUUCCACCUGAAACCAUAGAAAUAGCUGCUGCUAUAACAUUGCUGUAUUUGUCUUGAUUUCUUAAAACUUUUUUAACUACUAAAGAUAUUUUUCAUGUAUAUAAAAGUCUUGGAUAUAAAAGUCAUGUAUAUAAGUCUUGGAUUUGAAUAUUUGCAAAUUAAAUAAUAAAGGUCUGUUUAUUCAUUGAUUUCAGUUGAGUGGUUCAAAAGACUUCAGAGUAACAAAACUGGUAAGUUUAGGGACUGCAGAGUGAAGAAGCCUUCAGAACUGUACUCUGCUCUCCUGUUUAUAUUAAUCACUCAUUUCACAUAAAGCUGGCCUGCUCUCACCUUGAUUUAAGAGGAAUCUUCAGCAUUUCAAGUAAAACCUGCACUUUCACUGCACAAGGGAAGAGCUGAAGUAGUAUACAAGUCUUGAUAGGAAAGAGCAGCAGCAUUAGAUGUUUGCACAUCAACAGUCCAGGAAACAAGUCUGACUUCCAUUUACUCAAUUCACAGUCUACAGGAUAGUUUAUGUUGUUUUUCCUUAGCAUGCAACUUUUUAUAAAGGCAGAUAUAGAAGAAUCAAUUCUCUGCUGUGCAAAUGGUCUUCCUGAUAGGAAACCUUAAUGUGAGUUGGUAAAGUCCAUAGACCAUGGGAAACCCUAAUGGAUAACAGUGUAGAGCUUUUGAUUCGGCUUUGCUUCCAGGUUACUAAUUUUGCACUUUCUACUUCUAAUGAGGCAUCUAUUGCAGCUGACCAGGAGCUCUAUACUAAAUGGCAAGCUGCCUACUGAGAAGUGUAUUGGGAAGUCAGAUCUUUAUUCUGUGGAUGUGCAUUUGUGCAUAUAUAAUUCUUUCCUUCAGGGAAUUCUGUUGAGGUGAAAGGGAGAUUUCAAUUCCUCAUUUAUUGCCUGUACUGGAAAGGUAAGGGCAGGUAAGAUCCCUCUUAUAAAGGAGGAAAAGCAAAAGCAGCUGGGAAUCCUGAACAGUUGUCUCAAGCAUUUUAUAUUCCGAACUUCAUAGCUACUUUCAUUCAAGAACCAGGCCAAGACAAUUUUCUUUCCA